rnacentral:rRNA from 1 species
AGAGUUUGAUCCUGGCUCAGGACGAACGCUGGCGGCGUGCUUAACACAUGCAAGUCGAACGAGACGAUUGAAAGCUUGCUUUUGAAAGUCGAGUGGCAAACGGGUGAGUAACGCGUAGACAACCUGCCGUAAAGAUGGGGACAACAGUCCGAAAGGACUGCUAAUACCGAAUGUUGUGGAACUCCCGCAUGGGAGCUCCACUAAAGAUGGCCUCUACUUGUAAGCUAUCGCUUUACGAUGGGUCUGCGUCUGAUUAGCUAGUUGGUGGGGUAACGGCCUACCAAGGCGACGAUCAGUAGCCGGUCUGAGAGGAUGAACGGCCACAUUGGAACUGAGACACGGUCCAGACUCCUACGGGAGGCAGCAGUGGGGAAUCUUCCGCAAUGGGCGCAAGCCUGACGGAGCAACGCCGCGUGAGUGAAGAAGGGUUUCGACUCGUAAAGCUCUGUUGUCGGGGACGAAUGUCAGGACUCAAAAUAUGGGUUCUGAAUGACGGUACCUGACGAGGAAGCCACGGCUAACUACGUGCCAGCAGCCGCGGUAAUACGUAGGUGGCGAGGCGUGUCCGGAUUAUUGGGCGUAAAGGGAGCGCAGNNGGAGNCAAGUCU